rnacentral:rRNA from 1 species
CAGCCGCCACGGUAAUACGAAGGGGGCUAGCGUUGCUCGGAAUGACUGGGCGUAAAGGGCGCGUAGGCGGAUUGUACAGUCAGACGUGAAAUUCCUGGGCUCAACCUGUGGACUGCGUUUGAGACGUGCGACCUAGAGUUUGGAAGAGGGUCGUGGAAUUCCCAGUGUAGAGGUGAAAUUCGUAGAUAUUGGGAAGAACACCGGUGGCGAAGGCGGUGACCUGGUCCUUGACUGACGCUGAGGCUCGAAAGCGUGGGGAGCAAACAGGAUUAGAUACCCCCGUAGUCCCUGUCUCUUAUAC